rnacentral:rRNA from 1 species
UACGGGAGGGGCAAGCGUUGUUCGGAAUUACUGGGCGUAAAGGGCUGGUAGGCGGCCAACUAAGUCGGAUGUGAAAUCCCCAGGCUUAACCUGGGAACUGCAUCCGAUACUGGUCGGCUUGAAUCCGGGAGAGGGAUGCAGAAUUCCAGGUGUAGCGGUGAAAUGCGUAGAUAUCUGGAGGAAUACCGGUGGCGAAGGCGGCAUCCUGGACCGGCAUUGACGCUGAACAGCGAAAGCUAGGGGAGCAAACGGG